rnacentral:rRNA from 1 species
ACCGGCAGCUCAAGUGGUGGCCAUUUUUAUUGGGCCUAAAGCGUUCGUAGCCGGUUUGAUAAGUCUCUGGUGAAAUCCCGCAGCUUAACUGUGGGACUUGCUGGGGAUACUAUUAGACUUGAGGCCGGGAGAGGUGAGGGGUACUCCAAGGGUAGGAGUGAAAUCCUGUAAUCCUUGGGGGACCACCUGUGGCGAAGGCGCCUCACUGGAACGACCCUGACAGUGAGGAACGAAAGCCGGGGGAGCGAACCG